AAUCUGCCCUACACAAGAGGACAACAGUUGGAAACGACUGCUAAUACUCUAUACUCCUGCUUAACACAAGUUGAGUAGGGAAAGUUUUUCGGUGUAGGAUGAGACUAUAUAGUAUCAGCUAGUUGGUAAGGUAAUGGCUUACCAAGGCUAUGACGCUUAACUGGUCUGAGAGGAUGAUCAGUCACACUGGAACUGAGACACGGUCCAGACUCCUACGGGAGGCAGCAGUAGGGAAUAUUGCGCAAUGGGGGAAACCCUGACGCAGCAACGCCGCGUGGAGGAUGACACUUUUCGGAGCGUAAACUCCUUUUCUUAGGGAAGAAUUCUGACGGUACCUAAGGAAUAAGCACCGGCUAACUCCGUGCCAGCAGCCGCGGUAAUACGGAGGGUGCAAGCGUUACUCGGAAUCACUGGGCGUAAAGGGCGCGUAGGCGGAUUAUCAAGUCUCUUGUGAAAUCUAAUGGCUUAACCAUUAAACUGCUUGGGAAACUGAUAGUCUAGAGUGAGGGAGAGGCAGAUGGAAUUGGUGGUGUAGGGGUAAAAUCCGUAGAUAUCACCAAGAAUACCCAUUGCGAAGGCGAUCUGCUGGAACUCAACUGACGCUAAGGCGCGAAAGCGUGGGGAGCAAACAGGAUUAGAUACCCUGGUAGUCCACGCCCUAAACGAUGUACACUAGUUGUUGGGGUGCUAGUCAUCUCAGUAAUGCAGCUAACGCAUUAAGUGUACCGCCUGGGGAGUACGGUCGCAAGAUUAAAACUCAAAGGAAUAGACGGGGACCCGCACAAGCGGUGGAGCAUGUGGUUUAAUUCGAAGAUACGCGAAGAACCUUACCUGGGCUUGAUAUCCUAAGAACCUUUUAGAGAUAAGAGGGUGCUAGCUUGCUAGAACUUAGAGACAGGUGCUGCACGGCUGUCGUCAGCUCGUGUCGUGAGAUGUUGGGUUAAGUCCCGCAACGAGCGCAACCCACGUAUUUAGUUGCUAACGGUUCGGCCGAGCACUCUAAAUAGACUGCCUUCGUAAGGAGGAGGAAGGUGUGGACGACGUCAAGUCAUCAUGGCCCUUAUGCCCAGGGCGACACACGUGCUACAAUGGCAUAUACAAUGAGACGCAAUACCGCGAGGUGGAGCAAAUCUAUAAAAUAUGUCCCAGUUCGGAUUGUUCUCUGCAACUCGAGAGCAUGAAGCCGGAAUCGCUAGUAAUCGUAGAUCAGCCAUGCUACGGUGAAUACGUUCCCGGGUCUUGUACUCACCGCCCGUCACACCAUGGGAGUUGAUUUCACUCGAAGCCGGAAUACUAAACUAGUUACCGUCCACAGUGGAAUCAGCGACUGGGGUGAAGUCGUAACAAGGUAACCGUAGGAGAACCUGCGGUUGGAUCACCUCCUUUCUA
rnacentral:rRNA from 2 species